GGUAAACAAGCGCACAGCUUUGGAUCUGAGGUAAAGAUACAAAAUGCAGCUCCUCAAGAGGAAAGGGAGAACCCUCCCAUUCAUCCACCUUCUCUGUCCCUCUAGACCAGCCAGUGCUACCAACCAAGGCAAAGGUGGUAACUGUUCUUCACAAAAACCUUUUGAAAUAAAAUAUUCUGUCUGGAGGAUACUUCUUCAUGCCCUCUGAAAAGCAGAGUGGGAUGAGAGGGAGGGGGCCAGCAUGGAAGUGUGAGAAGUGCUGACCCUGCAGAAUGAGAGGAAUGUAAAGAAGGAAGGGAAGCAAUUAAAAAGUAGUUGAAAAUGGAAGGCCUGUGGGAAAAUUAGAGUGAGACAUUGUGGGGAUUGGUUGAAAUUACAGAGAUGAAUUCAAGGCAUGGGGCAAAUUGCAGAAGAAACAGGAUUUCUUGCAGUCUUUCUGAGGGAAGGACACAGUGGAGACCUGUUGGAGUGCUACACCCACGCCACGGGCUGUGCUGCCGUGCUCAGCCUGCACCAGGACUGUCUGCAGGUCCUGCCACACCACUGAGCACUCAGUGUGCUGCAAUUCAGGAACCCGUGGUUUUUCCCCAGCCUAGCAUGACAGAAAUAUUAUUUUUAAUACUGUAUAAGGCAAAAGGAGACAUUACGGAGUGGGAGGGAAGGCUGGAAGGAGUCACUGCUCUCCGCUUGGAGAGAUUUGUUUUGCACUGUCUUUUCUGUCUUGAUUUAAUAGCGAGUUGGCUCUUUCCAGCAACUAGGCAGGGGAGGAGGGACGGGAAUAUGUUCCCAGUCUUUGGCCAAGAGUGUCCCAGGGCGUCCCGGGCGUGACCUCUUCAAUGUUUGUUUUUCUUUCCCUACAACUGACCCAGAUGCUGGGAUUUGAGACUUGGGCCCUCCUGGCCUGUUGAACAUUUGCCCCCUCUGGUACAGCAUGUGACAGUCUCAUGAACCAGGCUGGGAACAGUACCUGGAACUGUUUUUCUCUCCAGCAGACUGUUUUGUCCGGUUGCGUUCCAGGAACCCAAACCCGUGCGGAAAAUGCCGGGAGCGCAGUGCCACCCAGUGGGGAUGGAGGCACGGACGGAGCCCGGCCAGGAAAAGGCCUUCCAGGCACAACAGUCACCCGACACGCAACAAAGGAAAGGGAAACUACGGUUUGGCCUGUUUUAUUUAGAAAACAGCCGCAGUGAAUGUUCCGUGGAAACAAUUUAGCGUUCAUUUACAUUUGCAGCUUGUGCAGUCUUUCUUGGGAAUGACAGCAAGGUUUGCAAACUGAGAUGGAUUUGUUUUGGUCAUGCAGAACUCAAAAACCAACAAAGUAUCUUCAAACAAACAAACAAACAAACUGGUUCAAACUUAAUCUAAUGUGCCAAACACUGGGAGAAAAAAGCACAGCUUUGGAA